rnacentral:rRNA from 1 species
AUCCGGGUUGCGGACAGUGUCUGGUGGGUAGUUUGACUGGGGCGGUCUCCUCCUAAAGAGUAACGGAGGAGCACGAAGGUUGGCUAAUCCUGGUCGGACAUCAGGAGGUUAGUGCAAUGGCAUAAGCCAGCUUGACUGCGAGCGUGACGGUGCGAGCAGGUGCGAAAGCAGGUCAUAGUGAUCCGGUGGUUCUGAAUGGAAGGGCCAUCGCUCAACGGAUAAAAGGUACUCCGGGGAUAACAGGCUGAUACCGCCCAAGAGUUCAUAUCGACGGCGGUGUUUGGCACCUCGAUGUCGGCUCAUCACAUCCUGGGGCUGAAGUAGGUCCCAAGGGUAUGGCUGUUCGCCAUUUAAAGUGGUACGCGAGCUGGGUUUAGAACGUCGUGAGACAGUUCGGUCCCUAUCUGCCGUGGGCGCUGGAGAACUGAGGGGGGCUGCUCCUAGUACGAGAGGACCGGAGUGGACGCAUCACUGGUGUUCGGGUUGUCAUGCCAAUGGCACUGCCCGGUAGCUAAAUGCGGAAGAGAUAAGUGCUGAAAGCAUCUAAGCACGAAACUUGCCCCGAGAUG